AUUCCAGCUUAGAGCCGGGCGAGGAGCUACCUGUUGGUGUCGGGUCUCGCGUGAGCGCGAGCUAACGCGGGCGGGCGGCGCGCGUGGGACGACCCUGUGUGCCAGCUGCAGUGCGCUCUCCUCACCAGCACCGGCCCCGCCAGGUUCCUGGGCGGUGUCCGCUGGGAGGUCUCCGGCGGGAACCGUCACUCCGCCCAACCCUCACAGUGGAGAGAUAAACAAGCAGAAAUCUACUAGCAAGCCAGCUGUCUAUCCUUAGUGAAAAACACAAACGAACUGUGACACACUCAUGAAAUGGAAUUUUACCUGCGUGAAAAAUCCUCAGACCACAGCUGCAAGCAACAAUCCGUGACCUCUCACUGGGAGCUGGGAUCGGCCGUGCCAGGAGCCAGUGGAAACCAGGAAACUUACACCAUGGAAACCAGGAAACGCUGCAGACCAGAGCCUUUCCUGCCCCCUUAUCAAACUGGUUAUUAGUUACAGCACACCAAUGAAGCCAGCAAAGAUUUUAGAGCCUAAGAUGAAGAUUUUCCAUAUCGUGGGCUGAAGUCAAACAACAGAUG
rnacentral:lncRNA from 1 species